rnacentral:rRNA from 1 species
CCUACGGGUGGCAGCAGUGGGGAAUAUUGGACAAUGGGCGAAAGCCUGAUCCAGCCAUGCCGCGUGUGUGAAGAAGGCCUUCGGGUUUUAAAGCACUUUCAGUGGGGAAGAAAGCCUUGGGGCUAAUACCCUCGAGGAAGGACAUCACCCACAGAAGAAGCACCGGCUAACUCCGUGCCAGCAGCCGCGGUAAUACGGAGGGUGCGAGCGUUAAUCGGAAUUACUGGGCGUAAAGCGCGCGUAGGCGGUCUGAUAAGCCGGUUGUGAAAGCCCCGGGCUCAACCUGGGAACGGCAUCCGGAACUGUCAGGCUAGAGUGCAGGAGAGGAAGGUAGAAUUCCCGGUGUAGCGGUGAAAUGCGUAGAGAUCGGGAGGAAUACCAGUGGCGAAGGCGGCCUUCUGGACUGACACUGACGCUGAGGUGCGAAAGCGUGGGUAGCAAACAGGAUUAGAUACCCGAGUAGUC